rnacentral:rRNA from 1 species
AAUAGAUACCCUGGUAGUCCACGCCGUAAACGAUGAGUGCUAAGUGUUAGAGGGUUUCCGCCCUUUAGUGCUGCAGCUAACGCAUUAAGCACUCCGCCUGGGGAGUACGGCCGCAAGGCUGAAACUCAAAGGAAUUGACGGGGGCCCGCACAAGCGGUGGAGCAUGUGGUUUAAUUCGAAGCAACGCGAAGAACCUUACCAGGUCUUGACAUCCUCUGCCAACCCUAGAGAUAGGGCGUUCCCCUUCGGGGGACAGAGUGACAGGUGGUGCAUGGUUGUCGUCAGCUCGUGUCGUGAGAUGUUGGGUUAAGUCCCGCAACGAGCGCAACCCUUGAUCUUAGUUGCCAGCAUUCAGUUGGGCACUCUAAGGUGACUGCCGGUGACAAACCGGAGGAAGGUGGGGAUGACGUCAAAUCAUCAUGCCCCUUAUGACCUGGGCUACACACGUGCUACAAUGGAUGGUACAAAAGCUGCGAACCCGCGAGGGUAAGCGAAUCUCAUAAAGCCAUUCUCAGUUCGGAUUGUAGG